CUCCUACUCCCUCCGUCCGGAAAUACUUGUCAUCAAAAUGGAUAAAAGGAGAUGUAUGUAGACGUAUUUUAGUUUUAGAUACAUCCCUUUUUAUUCAUUUUUGAUGACGAGUAUUUUUGGACGGAGGGAGUAUUUA
rfam:Triticum aestivum genome assembly, contig: Triticum_aestivum_CS42_TGACv1_scaffold_329284_4BS